rnacentral:lncRNA from 1 species
AUGGCCACCUCCUCAGUGUCUAAGGGCUGCUUUGUUUUUAAGCCAAACUCCAAAAAGAGAAAGAUCUCUGUGCCAAUGGAGGACUAUUUUAACAAAGGGAAAAAUGAGCCUAAGGACAGUAAGCUUCAAUUUGGAACUUAGUUGAUAUGGCAGCAAAUGAAAUCUGAAAAUGAGCCACUACAAGAGGAAUUAAAUAAAAACUUGUUUGACAAUCUAACUGAAUUUCUGCAAAAAUCUCAUUCUGGAUUCCAGAAGAAUUCAAGAGACUUGGGCUGUCAAACAAAACUCAGAGAAAUUCCAACUGCUGCUCUUGUUCUUGGUGUGAAAGUCACAGAUCAUGAUUUAACAUUCAGAAGUCUAACAGAGGCCCUUCAGAAUAAAGUCACACCAUAUGUAGUCUCAUCGCAAGCUAAAGACUGUCCAGAUAUGAAACAUUUUUUGCAAAAUUUGGUCUCAUAAUUAAUGAACUGCUGUGUACAUCUAAAAUCCAAAGAGGGGGAAAGCGUUCAGGUCACCCAGAGAAAUACACAUUAUUUAAUGGAUUCACUUUCCAGUUGGUACAUGACUGUCACACAGAAGACAGACCCAAAAAUGCCAAGCAAAAAGAGGACUACUUCUAGCCAAUGGCAGUCUCCUCCUGUUUUGGCUACCUUAAAGGAUAUGGAAAGCUUUGCCACAAAAGUACUGCAAGAUUUCAUAAUUAUCAGCAGUCAACAUCUGCAUGAAUUUCCACUAAUACUCAUUGUGGGAAUCGCCACAUCUAUUAUCAACCACCGAUUGUUUCCUCAUGCAGUAUCAUCUCUGUUGUGUAUAGAACUGUUCCAAUUUUUGUCUUGCAAGGAGCAUCAGACUAUGGUACUCAAUAAGCUACUUCUUACAACUCAGUUUCCCUUUAAAAUAAAUGAAAAAGUAUUGCAGGUUCUGACCAACAUCUUUUUGUAUCAUGAUUUCUCGAUUCAAAACUUUAUAAAAGUCUUCAACUUUCUUUAUUAGAGCAUUUCUGUUCCCAGCCCUUAAGUGUCCUGUGCUGUAAUCUUCCAUAAGUCAAAAGAAGAAUAAAUUUUUUAUCAAAUAAUCAAUGUGAAAACAUCUGACGUCUUCCAUCUUUUAGGAGAUAUGUGGAAAAGCAAGCUUCAGAAAAGCAAGUUGCGCUCUUGACCAGUGAGAGAUGUUUGAAGAAGGAAACGCAAUUAUUACUAGAAAACCUGCAUGUUUAUCAUAUGAAUUACUUUCUGGUUUUGAGAUGUGUUCAUAAGUUCACCUCUUCUCUUCCCAAGUAUCCACUAGGUCGACAGAUCAGAGAGUUGUACCGCAUGUUUAGAAAAGAACAUCCGGAAUUCAGAGGAGUACGCAUCAGUCUUGCAGCUGCUGAAGAUGUUGGCAAAGGAUGAACUGAUGACCAUACUUGAGAAAUGUUUCGAGGUUUUUAAAUCUUCUUGUGAAAAGCACCUUGGCAGCACAGCUAAGAGAAUACAGGAGUUCCUGGCCCAGUUUCAGAGCUUCGAUGAAACCAAAGAGGUAGAAGAUGCUUCUGGUUCAUAGCCAAAGGGGCUUCAGAAGGCAGACCUCUAUCAUCUUCAGAAGUCUUUACUGGAAAUGAAGGAGUUAAGCAGAAGUAAAAAGCAAACCAAAUUUGAAGUACUCAGAGAAAAGGUUGUGAACUUCAUGACUGUCUAGUGAGAGAAUACCUUCUGCCUCCCGAGACACAGCCUCCAUGAGGUGGUGUGCUUCAGCGCCGCCCAUGCCCUUCGUAGGCAUUUAAUGCUGCUCCGUGAAUUGCCCUCCAUACUGCACUCAACAAUCCUUACUAUUCUCUAAAGAAUGAAGCACUGAAAAGGGAAGAAGGGUGCAUUCCAAAUAUCACCCCAGACAUCUGCAUAGCAUACAAAUUGUACCUAGAGUGUCGCAGGCUAAUCAACCUUGUGGACUAUUCACAGGCUUUUGCAACAAUUUUGACAGCUGCUGAAAAAAUGGAUGCAAAUUCUACAUCCUCAGAAGAAAUGAAUGAAAUUAUCUAUGCUUGGUGUAUUAGAACUGUUUUUGAACUAGAACUUUUAGGAUUUAUAAAACCUACCAAACAGAAGACUGACCAUGUGGCAAGGCUAACAUGGGGAGGCU